ensembl:lncRNA
AGCCCAUAUCUCCGCUGAAGAGACACCCAGCAGAGAGCCGCCGGACUUCAACGGGCUCCCUCACAUCAGAGGGCUCUUCUCUGGGUUACAGGCCAGUGCCGAAGAAGAGGACCUUUCGCUCCAGACGUACCUCCAGUCAGUCAGAUAGCAACUGCCUGGCGUUGGAUUCUCCGGGAGGGACGGCGGGAAAUGUCCCCACCCCGAGACGGAGCCUCCAGCGAGGAUCCAGCGAGAACUCCAACUGGUCCUCCAUCAAGGGCCAAGAUGAAAUACCGCAGAAAAGCGUUUUUCCUGUAUCUAAUGCAGCUCAGCCAUCCGAAGCUGGAGAAGAAAACUCGCAGCAGCCGCUCUGCAAUGUGUCUCGGCGUUAUUUGGAUUCCGGUCUGAAGAAAGAGAGACACCCCCCUUCAAUCACAAGAGACAGGUCAGUGGACCAUUCCUCUGACCCCGACAUUUUAAUUAACUCUCUUCUCCCUUCAUAGCAUCUCACAACCUGCAUUAUUUCAGACUUUCCACGUACACCAGGAGCGAUGCAUCCACUGAGAUCCCACAGACGAGUGAUGAACAACACGAUGAAGUUGUUCUGCACACAGGCGGCAUUCAGGAUCCAUACAGAGAAAACAGUAGCAGUGUGGGUACAGGAAUGAGGCCGAAAGAUCUGAGUCUGCCCCAAAGCACCGUGGAUCCAGAACCCCCAGUAUCUUAUGAUCUCAUCUUCAUUGAUGAGUCUGAUCAGCAGGCAAAGAUGAAAUCAAAUCAAAAGCAUGCGUUUCAAUUAUCGACUCAGACAACCAGUCCAACCGGUGGGGACGAGGACUCCAUUGCUAAGGUGCUGGACUGGUUCAGCCGCAGCACAGACAGCAUCGAUUUGCCACGGACACUCGAUGGUCCGAAGGCCAUGCAGAGUUCUGAUAAACACACAGACAUAAGCAAAUCAACGGAUGAAGGUUCAUUUAGAAAGGAAACUGUGGAUAUUAUAAGUGUCAGAAAGAACGAAUCUCUUAAAAUGAGAAGAGAAUCCAAUGAGGCUAAAGAGUUGAUAGCUACAGACACAGAAACCCGAGAAGAAGUAGAAAAUGAUAUCAGGGGAAGAAUGCAGUCACAAGAAGUUAACAAUAUUAACGAUAAAAGCCAACCACCCAAAAUAUCUGACCUGACGUCAUUCUGGGAGGAAAGCCACCCAGGCCAUAGAAUACUUAUCGGCAAAUCAAUCAAGCCUGGAGAGAAAGGAGAAAAAUCUGGUUAUGUUUCAGCGGAGAAAGAAAACAACAAGGUAACUAAACCACACAUAGCGCCUGAUAUGCCCACUGUGACAGGAAUAUACAACAGAAAGGGAAUUUAUUAUCAAUCCGCUUCAAAUUCUGAGGAUUCAAGCGAACAAAAGAAAGAUCCUGCACACAGUCUGGUGAUCAAUACUUCAACUCAGCCAAACAACAAUGACCCAACUCUCAACUCAGAUUUUUCAAAGUCAGCAACCGGUCCCCAAGUAGCUGAGAGAAGAGGCUCAGUCACUGAGAUUUUAUCCGUAAACAGAAUUAGUCCACAUCCAAGGACACCCAUCCAGCCCAGUGCACAACCUGACAGUAUAUCCCCAUCUAGAAAAACCUCUCUGCAAGACGACCUGUCAAAAACUAUUCCAGUGCUUCACCUGGUUACAGAUCCCGACUCCAAGAAGCUCCAUUCGUCCAAAAACCGCCCAUCUAUGAAAGACACUCAAGGUGAUAAGCAAAUCCCCCCUAAAACACAAAUGCAUAGAGGUUCAAGUGAAGAUACACAGGCAGUGAAUGGUGAGGAUCAAUGCACGCAUUCAAGUGUCUCUCUUAAACAAAAGGGGGAUACGUCUAAAAAAGACGGACUCAACUGCCCUCACUCAAACAAACAAGGUCAACCUAAUCAAGAAAGCACUGCAGAGAAGAUAAAGCAGCUCAAGUCUUUCUGGGAGCAAGAAUGGAAAAAGCCUCCACUUUACACCAGAAAAAACAAACCUCUUGGUGACGUUAAAGUUGCCGGUGGUACAAAUCAAUCACGACUCAAUAAGAGGUUUACAAAGUCAGACUAUGAUCUGACAUCGAUUGGAAAUGAUUCGGGCAGCGAUGAUAGAAAUGAUCGCAACUUUACCGUUCUUCCUUUGAAUCAGACAAAGUUGUCCCCGACCCUACGUACAAACCGGGCGCAAUUUAAUACUCUGCGUGACUUCUGGGACGAGAGCGUGUCAGAUACCAAGGAAUCGUCCAAGUACAGUCACCCAGGGAUUUACUACGUGUCAGAAAGACCUGCUCCCACGAAAUCACCCCAGACUCUCCAGAGUCAACCAAAGGCACCUCACGAAAGACCACCGGUACCAACGGCAGCGAAUGAUGGCAAAAGAAAUCUGUCCAAUUAUGCCACGGCUGAGUCCAAAAGCAGCACAAAAGACGCUAAUGGAGAGGAGAGACCCUCCAAAAGCCAGAGUAGAUCAGGAAAAGAGAUUCUUUCUCCAAAGAGCAGAAAAGAUAGCUUUAGCCUUUCGAGCAGUCGUGGAAAAUCCAUUCGUCGCACAACCAGCAUGUUUUCUCUGAGAGAUCCUAAUGAGAAAGAGCUGAAAAUGGAAGUCAGCCCCGUCCACUCCCAGAGCAGGAAGCAGCGGCAGAACGCCGAAAAGGGGGCUUCGCCAAAAAGAUCCCCAGAGGAGCCUGAGACCCUGACUCCUCGUGCACGAGCUUAUGUUCCCAAAGACUACCGGCACUACCUGGGCAUAACGGACGAGUCCAGCCCGCGCACCCCUCCCCCCCCUGCUGUGAAGGACGAGGAGUCAGAUCAAAACUCCGGGUACGAGAUUGACCUGGACGGGAAGGUGAGGGCCAGCACUCCGGCGAGCUCGGAGGAGCGCUACAGCAGAGGGGGCGGCAAAACGACUCAGCGCCAGUCGUGGGCAAACUACAGCAGUUCAGAUGCAGGUCACGAAUCAUCCGUGAGCAGCACUUCAGAAACCUGGUCCAACUCAAGGAUCAGUUCAAACCGUAAGCAUCGACUUCACUCAGCUUUUUAA